UACAUUAUAGUAUAUGAAGUACAUUAACUUUUGAUGUUAAAAGAAAUAGUUUAAUUCUAUUAAAUGUAA
rnacentral:tRNA from 1 species